CCAGACUCCUACGGGAGGCAGCAGUGGGGAAUAUUGCACAAUGGGGGAAACCCUGAUGCAGCGACGCCGCGUGAGUGAGGAAGUAUUUCGGUAUGUAAAGCUCUAUCAGCAGGGAAGAAAAUGACGGUACCUGACUAAGAAGCCCCGGCUAACUACGUGCCAGCAGCCGCGGUAAUACGUAGGGGGCAAGCGUUAUCCGGAUUUACUGGGUGUAAAGGGAGCGUAGACGGAAUAGCAAGUCUGAUGUGAAAACCCGGGGCUCAACUCCGGGAGUGCAUUGGAAACUGUUGAUCUAGAGUGUCGGAGAGGCAAGCGGAAUUCCUAGUGUAGCGGUGAAAUGCGUAGAUAUUAGGAGGAACACCAGUGGCGAAGGCGGCUUGCUGGACGAUGACUGACGUUGAGGCUCGAAAGCGUGGGGAGCAAACAGGAUUAGAUACCCGUGUA
rnacentral:rRNA from 1 species